AGUCACUGACAUUAGAUACCCCGGUAGUCCCAGCCGUAAACUAUGCGCGUUAGGUGUACUGGUGACCACGAGUCACCGGGGUGCCGAAGAGAAAUCGUGAAACGCACCACCUGGGAAGUACGGUCGCAAGGCUGAAACUUAAAGGAAUUGGCGGGGGAGCACCACAACAGGUGGAGCCUGCGGUUUAAUUGGAUUCAACGCCGGACAUCUCACCGGAUAAGACAGCUGAAUGAUUGUCAAUCUGAAGGUUUUACAUGACUAGCUG
rnacentral:rRNA from 1 species